UACGUAGGGUGCGAGCGUUGUCCGGAAUUAUUGGGCGUAAAGGGCUCGUAGGCGGUUUGUCACGUCGGGAGUGAAAACUCGGGGCUUAACCCCGAGCCUGCUUCCGAUACGGGCUGACUAGAGGUAUGCAGGGGAGAACGGAAUUCCUGGUGUAGCGGUGAAAUGCGUAGAUAUCAAGAGGAACACCUGAGGCGAAGGCGGGUUGCUAGGCUGACACUGACGCUGAAGCGCGAAAGCCAGGGGAGCAAACGGG
rnacentral:rRNA from 1 species